AGUGAACGCUGGCGGUAGGCCUAACACAUGCAAGUCGAACGGGAGCACAGUAAGAGCUUGCUCUUACGGGUGGCGAGUGGCGGACGGGUGGGGAAUACAUCGGAAUCUACUUUUUCGUGGGGGAUAACGUAGGGAAACUUACGCUAAUACCGCAUACGACCUACGGGUGAAAGCAGGGGAUCUUCGGACCUUGCGCGAUUGAAUGAGCCGAUGUCGGAUUAGCUAGUUGGCGGGGUAAAGGCCCACCAAGGCGACGAUCCGUAGCUGGUCUGAGAGGAUGAUCAGCCACACUGGAACUGAGACACGGUCCAGACUCCUACGGGAGGCAGCAGUGGGGAAUAUUGGACAAUGGGCGCAAGCCUGAUCCAGCCAUACCGCGUGGGUGAAGAAGGCCUUCGGGUUGUAAAGCCCUUUUGUUGGGAAAGAAAAGCAGCAGGUUAAUACCCCGCUGUUCUGACGGUACCCAAAGAAUAAGCACCGGCUAACUUCGUG
rnacentral:rRNA from 1 species